AGAUGAAACAUCCAAUUGCAGAUAUGAAUGACCUAAUUCAAUGGAUGAGUCUGGAAGAGGACCAAGUUCAUGGGAAAGAUCAAAAAUUCAGUUUUGAAGAUGUUGAUGAGAAGAUGAGACAAAACCAUGUAUAGAUGCGGAUGAGCUAAUUAAAUAUAUGAGUCUGGAGCUGAAAGGAAAUGCCUUGACAAGAGAAGUAAAUUUGAGGACCAUCAGUAUACAGAUGUACUUGAAUCCAUCUAUGUAAAUGCAAUCACCCUGGGAGGAAAUUUAGAGUGAGAACAGGACUGCGUGGAAAGACAUUAAAGAAGUUAAAGAAAGAAGAACUAACAAAGGCAGGAGAGAAGAAGAGGACGGAGAGGUAGGAGAGAAACCAGUAAUGUGCGAUGGCAUAGAAAUUAAGAACUCUGGCAAAACAGCAUGGAAUGGGAAGUGGACGUGGCUUUCUGCAUAAAACACAUACCCUGCAACAUAGCAAAUUACUCUGCCUGAUCCUUCACCCAUUAUCCUUGGACCAAGCUUAUGCUUUCUGUAAAAUUUCAGGCAAAGAUCCACUGGGGAAGAUGAGAGGAAAAUAGCACGGAUGAGCAACAUACUUCCUGCCCUCUGACUCUGACCUCUUGUUCAUACUUUGUUCCUAACAAUUCCUUCCCUUAGAGUGGUUUUUCCCAGGGUUCUUAUUAUAGAGAUUGCUUGUGCCCUCAAAACUUCAUAUGUUGAAAUCCUAACUCCCAAUGUGUUGAUAUUAUGAAGUAGGGCAUUUGAGAGGUAAUCAGGUCACGAGGGUGGCACCCUAAAGGGAAAUUAGUACCCUUAUAAGAACAGAUAUGAGAGAGAUUAUUUUUCUCCCAGCCAUGUGAGAAUACAACAAGAAGAUUACCAUCUGCAAUCCAAAAAGAGUGUCCUUAUCAGACACCAGAUCUGCCAGGGGCUUUGAUCUUGGACUUCGCAGCCUCUAGAACCGUGAGAAAUAAAUGUUUGUUGUUUUAAGCACUCAGUCUCUGGUAUUCUGUUAUAACAGUCCAAAGUAGCUAGGACAGUACUUUUCUGUUCCUCAAGUAAACAGUCCCACAUUGACCCACCCAACAGUCUUUCCAAUUUGCAGAGAAAGUAUUAAAAUCAAAGCAGUAAGUAAUUUGAAGCCACUUAUGACAUAUGCUAAAAUACUUGAAAUAACUAUUUUUAAAAUUUUAAUGCUCUUGAUUAUAGUAAUGACAUAUGCCACUUAUGAAAAAUAUGAGCUUCAAAAGAAAAGUAAAUUUCAAGUCAAAUCCUAAAAUUAAUAAAGUCAACAUUAGAGGGAGGGGCUUUAUUAUAUGUAAAAUGUGAGCAUGGAAAC
ensembl:lncRNA novel transcript